AGAGAAACGCGGGAGUGGUGGGGGAUGUGGGUUCCUGUGUGCUGAGCGGAGGAGCCGGGGUGGGGGCGGUGCAAGCGGAAGAAAGAGCCAAGAGAGCGGAAAAUCGGCUGGUGCUGUCGCCGCCCGAGUUUUGUGUUUCCACAGCUUUCCAGUUGGGUACAACGGAGCCGAACUCCGUGUUCCCGGGCUGGAGAGCCUUGGUGUCCCCGCCAACCCCCAGUAGGAAGCGAGCGCUGUAACAUGGGAGGCGUGGUCGCCACUGAUCUUGUCUCCCCCCAGAGCCUUCCUAAAGGCUCUGCCGCCACGAGACUGCACCACCGGGAAAGAAGUGUGUGAAAGUGUACUCCGUAAACAGGCAAUCCUGUACGCGACUUAGGGGCAGAAAGACCCUCCGCACUUUUAUCAUUUGAAAGUAAGGUGGACGAUUCCAGCCUGGUGUCCCUGAGGGUACACACAGGCCCCCCGCGCAGCCAGAGGUGACUCAGGAACCCCCCUUCCAACCCCUGCGUAGAACGCCGAACAGUCUUCGGAGAAUUCGCUUUCCUCCACGUGAAAAGGAAAAGAAAAACAUUUGAGGAGUCGCAGUAGUCACUUGUACUCCCCAAACACACGGGAAGAAGUUGAUCAGUUUGCAUGCUUGGAGUCAAAUUACGCUCAGCACAAAUCCAACGCCCCUGAAUUAAAUGAGCAGUAGAAGCUCUCUGCAAAAAACACAACAGUAUUUGUGACCCGGUAUUAUUUCAGGAGGCCAGUAAAGGAAUAAAAAAGAUCCACCAAGACAGAGAAUUAAAGGAGAGACUCCAGCAUAUAAGAGGUCAACCAUUUAGGAAAACAGAAAGUGGAUACAGAAGUGGCAACUGACGUAGCGGAACAGAGAAAGCUGAAGGCUAAGUUCAAGAGGCGGGGGAAGCCAGCAAGAAACAAGCUGAUUCCUGUUGCAGAACUCUCAUCAGCUCAGCAAUAAGCACCACCUGGUUCUCUGAGGGUCUCACUUCACCCAGGCUGGAAUGCAGUGGUGUGAUCACAGCUCACUAUAGUCUCGAUCUCCUGGGCCUCCCACAUCAGCCUUAUCACUCAUUCUGGGGGCAGCCCUCUGGCAUGUAAUGAGCAGUCCUAUGGAGAGGCCCAUGUGACAGUAGCCAUGCGAGUGACACUGGAAGUGAAACCUGCAGCUCCAGUCAAGCCUUUAGAAGACUGCAGCCCUGGCUGACAGCUUGACAGCAAACUCAUGAGAGACUCUCAGCUUGAACAACUCAGCUAAACUGUUCCUGGGUUCCUGGUCCUCAAAAACUGUUAUAAAAGACAUUGUGGCUACCAUCUCUCAUCACUCACUCAAAGGGAAGCCAACCACCAUGCAAUGAGAAUCUCAGGUAAUGAGGACCUGAGACCUGUUGUCAAUCACGUGAAUAAGCUUGGGAGGAGAUUCUCCAGCCCCAGUCAAGCCUCAGAAGACUUCAGCCCUAGGUGACAGCUUGAUGAUAAUCUCGGGAGGCAGAACCACCCAACUAAGCCACUCCUGGAUUCCUGACCCUGACCCUGACCCUAGAAACAGUGUGAGCUGGAAUUCUGUGAAGCACAUGACCUCAAGUCUUUGGAUAAAUGGAAACGCAGCUUAUGCCGGAAAGAUGGAAGGCUGGCUGUACUAAUAUCAGAAAUGGAAGAGGAGAGACAUCACUAGAGAUCCCAUGGAUAUUGAAAGGAUAAUAAAGGAGUAUUAUGAGCAUUGU
rnacentral:lncRNA from 1 species